UGUUGCAAUAAUAAUCCUGCUCGGUACGAGAGAAACCACAGGUUCACGCAUCUGGUGUCUGUGCUUGGCUGAGAAGCCAGUGGGACGAAGCUACCAUCUGCAGAAUUAGGACAGAACGCCUCUCAGCCAGAAUCCACUCUCAAAGGUCAUA
rnacentral:ncRNA from 1 species